rnacentral:rRNA from 1 species
CGCGGCCUAUCAGCUUGUUGGUGGGGUGAUGGCCUACCAAGGCGACGACGGGUAGCCGGCCUGAGAGGGUGUCCGGCCACACUGGGACUGAGAUACGGCCCAGACUCCUACGGGAGGCAGCAGUGGGGAAUAUUGCACAAUGGGCGGAAGCCUGAUGCAGCGACGCCGCGUGAGGGAUGACGGCCUUCGGGUUGUAAACCUCUUUCAGCAGGGACGAAGCGUAAGUGACGGUACCUGCAGAAGAAGCGCCGGCCAACUACGUGCCAGCAGUCGCGGUAAGACGUAGGGCGCGAGCGUUGUCCGGAUUUAUUGGGCGUAAAGAGCUCGUAGGCGGCUUGUCGCGUCGAAUGUGAAAACUUGGGGCUCAACUCCAAGCUUGCAUUCGAUACGGGCAGGCUAGAGUUCGGUAGGGGAGACUGGAAUUCCUGGUGUAGCGGUGAAAUGCGCAGAUAUCAGGAGGAACACCGGUGGCGAAGGCGGGUCUCUGGGCCGAUACUGACGCUGAGGAGCGAAAGCGUGGGGAGCGAACAGGAUUAGAUACCCUGGUAGUCCACGCUGUAAGCGUUGGGCGCUAGGUGUGGGGGGCCUCUCCGGUUCCCUGUGCCGCAGCU